GUCAUUUUGCAUUGCUAUUGAGACUUCUUAAAUGCAUCACAUUACUGAGACUGGAGUAGAAGAAAAAAAUCACUUGAAUCAAAGCACAAGUCUUCACAACAUGAGAUAACAUGUCUGCUCGGCUCCUCUCUGUUGCUGAUGUCUGAAGCUUUGAGACUAUGAAAGUUAGUCAUACUAAUCAAGUCUGUUCCCAGUGUCCAAGAUCUUCUGACAUCGUGUCUCUUGGGACAUUCAAUCAAGCCAGUCACCACACUGUGAGGAAACCCAGGCAGAAGCAGCUUGCAGAGAGGUCCACAUGAAGAGAUCCAAAGCUCAGGGCAUCAGCUGCAUGACUGAACUGUCAGCCAGUAGCCAGGCAUAUGAAGGAGUCACCUCGGAAGUGAUCCUGUAGUCCCCCAGUUGAGCUGGUGCCACGUGGAGCAGAGGUGAGUCCUCUUCACAGAUGCCUACUGGAAUUGGAGAUAUGUAAGCUAAAUAACUAAUGCUGUUAGCAUUAAGCACUAACUUUCCUGGUAAUUUGUUAUUUAACAACAAAUAACUAAAACAAGUGUCAACAAUUCUU